CAUAUCAGGACAAGUUGGUUUGGUCUUUGGACAGUGGCCGAGUGGACGGACGCUAUAAGAGCAACAGUACUACUCCAGCCUAGCCUAGCACUCCCAGUUUUCCGUCAGUACUGAAGUAGUCUAUUAGCAUUAGUCCGUCGCCGGCGCCGGCCGACGUCGAUCGGGGGAUUAAUUCGGGUGGUCGAUCAGCAGAUAUGGCGCCGGGCUUGUUCGGCGCGGCGGCGGCACUGGCCGUGGCGGUGUCGCUGGCGGUGCACGUGGCGCUCAACUGCCCCAUCGACCCGGCCCCGUCGCCGCCGUUCCCCGCCGGCCCCCGCCACACGCCCAAUAACCUCCUCCAGGGGCUGGAGAAGCUGGGGGCAGGGCGGCUGAGCGGGCCGGAGGACGUGCAGGUGCACGGCGGGGCGGUGUACACGGCCACCAGGGACGGCUGGCUGCAGAGGAUGCUCCCCGACGGGUCCUGGGAGAACUGGCGUUUCGUCGGCGGCACCGGCCUCCUCGGGAUCGCCCCCUCCGCCGACGGCUCCAUGCUCGUCUGCGACGCCGACAAGGGAUUGCUGAGGGUCGAUGAGGAACGGGUGACCAUUCUCGCAUCAACGGUCGAUGGCUCCCCGAUCAGGUUCGCGGACGCGGCGAUCGAGGCGUCGGACGGGACGGUGUACUUCAGCGACGCGAGCACCCGGUUCGGCUUCGACCUCUGGUUCCUGGCUUACCUGGAAUCCCGCCCGACGGGCCGCCUCCUCGCGUACCACCCCAGCACCGGCAAGGCCACCGUCGCGCUCGACAACCUCGCCUUCGCCAACGGCGUCGCCCUCUCCCAUGACCAGGCCUUCGUCAUCGUCUGCGAGUCCGGCGGGUACAGAUGCACCAAGCUGUGGCUGAAAGGGGACAAGGCUGGCCAGCCGGAGACCUUCGUCGAGAACCUCCCUGGCUCUCCGGACAACAUCCGUCUUGCGACCGACGGCUCCUUCUGGAUCGCCCUCAUCCAGCUGAGGUCGCCGUGGCUGGACCUGGUGACCCGCUGGACGUGGACCAAGAGAGUCGUCGCGUCGUUCCCGGUGCUCCUCCACGCGAUCAAGGCGACGGCCAAGGGAGCCAUGGUGGCGCAUGUGUCGGAGGACGGUGAGAUCCUCCGCGUGCUCGACGACACCGAGGGGAAGGUGAUCAACUUCAUCACUUCCGUGACGGAGUUCGACGGGCACCUCCUGCUGGGAAGCCUCUGGGCGGACUUCGUCGGCAAGCUGCCGCUGGCCAAGGUGACACAGGCGCAGCAGCAGGCUGCAGCUGCUUCCUCGUAGACAUGGUGACAGUAGGGGAGUGUCGUCGUCCGCUGCCCAUCGGAAACAAUAAAGGGUGUUUCCAGGCCCUUUCAUUGGAAUGAGAUCAUGGUUCCAGAAUUCACCGAGUUGUAGAAGAUUCAUAAAGGAUGGCGGGUGAACAGGGUGUUCCUAGGCCGUUUGAUGAUCGAAAUGAGAUCCAACGCUAGACAUUCCGGUGAUCUCAAAAAAGAGAAGAAAAAGAAAGACAUGCUAAACAUUACGGAAUACGAGAAACUGCAGUCCUAUCAGCCAUAUGAUCGAGUGAUUCGCCACACUUGUGAGGACCUAGCAAGGUACCAGGAGGUUAUGAUGGACAAUGGACGACUACAAGAUUUGAAUCUCACAUCCAACAGACACAAGUGACUUCUGUUUAUCCGCGAUGCUUCUCUUGCCCGGCAGCCGGCAGGAAAACUCUUAAAACUGGUUCCUCCUUCUCGACGGAUCCCACCUGGAACAUUCGCCUUACUUGUAAUGUUCAGAGCGCAAAUAGAGCAGCAUAUGCACGUGUUAGGGAGAAAAACGAACAUUACCUCGAUGUCAAGGCUAUUAAUAUCUCCCAGAACGUGUCUCAAUGCGAAUGCUGCCAUCUGGGACAAAAAGAGGAACAUAUAUCACAAUGUCUUUGAACCACUAGGUCAGGAGAAUUUUGAGAGUACAGAUAGGUCAGUUCUGCAGUCGUGUUAAUCUCUCCUGGGACACUUUAUGUCUUUUCUCCUUCUAAUAUAAGGGCAGGGCAGGAGCUCUGCUCUGCCGUGUAUUUGAGUGAAAAAAGGGUCAGUUCUACUA